GACAGAUUCAGAUAAAGAAAAACAUCUAAAGUGAGACACAACUGCUCCUGGCACACCAAUUUUGUCAGAAUGGAGGAUGGGCAUCAAAGAAACUCAUUAUGGAGUUUGCUUUCAACAUGGCAAGAUUAGCCAUUUGGGCAAGAAACUGCCCUUGUCUGGACUGUUUGUUGCUGUAUAAACUGGACAUGGAGGACACACAAGAAAGGGACUGCUAAACUUACAAAACAAGACAUUACUGAUGGGUUCCUGUUGAAAUGGAGAAGUGUGCCAGACACACUGUGGCCUAUAGGCUGAAGAUGGAUGCCUCAACGUUUCAGAGGAACUUUGAACAGAGGACUGUCCAGGUAGCCUGAUGUCUCUGUCAAUUCUAGAGUUUAUAUAUUAUCCUUCUGUGGUAUUUGAUAGAGUUGAAGACAGAUAGUUAUGGUUAUAGUUUUCUUCAGUUAUUAUAAAAGAUAAGUUACCCAUCUUUUUAUUUAGACAGAAAAGAGGAGAUGACGGGGAAGUACUUCUGUGUAUGUUUAUCUUAUUGAUUGUUUAAUAAAGUUAUGUUUGGCCAAUGAAACAGCAAGUUAGACAGAACUAGGAGUCAGAGGAUUCUAGGAAAUAUAGUAGAGAAGUGGUGAUCCAGGCAGGAAGUGACAUAGCAAGGAGACUCAUAUUAAGCAAGGAGAAACAGGAAGUGUCCCUUUUCCCUUUUCGCCUGCUCCAGCAGUGCCAUGUGAGCCACCGGCAAGAGAGGGUGCCAGUGGAAGGCAUCCCUAUAAGAUAAGUCUUAUAAAAUAUAUAGAUUUAUGAUAAUUAAGACUGAGCUAACAGAUGAGAAAUCCUAGUCAUUGGCCAAGCAGCUUUGUACCUAAUAUGUCUCUAUAUUAUUUUGUCCAUCCACACAGCAGGUAGAACUCGGGCGGCUGGCAGAGACCACCCAUGUGGCGGUAGGGAUUGGGCAGCUUUUGGAGGAAAGAUUUAUAGUAACAAUGGAUGAGAUAACAAAAUUCUGCAGAGACCUUAUUAGACACUUGCAAAUGAUUUUGAGAGAAAUGUCUAGAGAAAUAAAUCCAGCACAUAUAACAAAGUAUGUGUUGUUUGGG
rnacentral:lncRNA from 1 species